CUGUGUAGCUGAUUUUGUGUUGUGUUGUAACGGAGCUACUGAAUAUGUAAGACAAAUUUCGGAUCUCUGAUCUGACAAUAAAGUAUUAUCUUA